rnacentral:pre_miRNA from 1 species
UGAGUAUUUUUUCGUAUACCGAACAGAUCAUCGUUGACUUUCGGUAACGAAGAAUACUUGGA